UGGCCUAAUGGAUAAGGCGCUUGACUUCUAAUCAAGUAAUUGUGGGUUCGAGUCCCAA
rnacentral:tRNA from 1 species